GGGCCCGUAGCUCAGCCCGGUAGAGCGGCGGGCUUUUAACCCGUAGGUCCCGGGUUCGAAUCCCGGCGGGCCCGCCA
rnacentral:tRNA from 2 species